GCGCCCGUAGCUCAGUUGGAUAGAGCAACAGCCUUCUAAGCUGUGGGUCGGUGGUUCGAAUCCACCCGGGCGCA
rnacentral:tRNA from 1 species